rfam:Ciona intestinalis ciona0101, whole genome shotgun sequence.
ACUGGGUUGGCCGAGUGGUUAAGGCGUUGGACUUAAGUUCCAAUGGACGAACGUUCGAACCCCACACCCAGUA